GCUACAGUGGCCUAGUGGUUAGAGCGUCCGCUUCGGAUGCGGGAAGUAGAGGGUUCGAUCCCCGGUCAUGUCACA